CUGGGUGGCACUGGGAGAAGGAGACUGCUGCCAGCAGUGAGGCUGCCCUUGUAGCUCCAGGUCUUGGCUCCCCUUGCCUCUGAAGAGGGUCAGCAUAGGGAGAGGAGCCUGAUAUGCUGGUAACUUAGGCUGACUGCCUACAAUUCCUGGCUGUCAAUACUGCCCAGGAGUGGGGCCACUCUGCUAUUCCACCUCUCUAAUGAUAGGCUGUUCUCUACAAAUUGACCUUGGGGAAUUCUUAACACUUCCACAAAUAAGUUACUAGCCUCCACCUGGAGUCCCCCCCCCGCCCCCAACAAGGAUGAGGCUGACUUGCAAACAUGGUGGAGAGUGGCUGCAUUAGGGUCUGUUCCUCAGAGUUCUGGAUGCACAUUUUGCCUGAGAAACCACUGGAGCUAGCCUGUCCUACAAGAGGAGCAUGCACAAGUGUGACUCCUGGCCUACACUGGGCUGGAAGAGACCUACCUUCUGAGGAGGAGAUGGUGAGGAAAGAAGGAACAUGAUCCUUCUGAGGUCUCCCUACCAUGGAGCCAACUCAGCUGCUCCCUCACUCCAAAUGAAACCUGGCAGUGGUUACAAGAGAGGGCUGUCAUUCCAUGUCCUCUGGUUGGGUGGGUUCAAUUGAGGAUGUGGCAAAGACAGGAGUGGCCCUGCAGUGAUGCUGGGCUGUGGUUGGGGACAGUGAUGGAUUAUUCAGAGCAUCUGUCUUCAUAUUUCUGCUCUGCUCAGUGUCCUACUUUCUUCAUGGACUCCUUCCCUUCAGGAAGUCUGCAAUGGGCCUUUGGUAUGAAGCAGGCUCCAGUAAGAGGGCCAAGUCCUGGUUCGACAAGGAGGAUUUGAUCCUUCAGGGAAGAACAUCUCCAAAAGUACUCUCCAUCCGGUCUCCUCUUCUACCCAGUUCUGCUAGGAAAGGAGCACUUAGGUCUUGGGAUUGCAGGUCCCAGUAAAUGCCAGCAUUCUGUGUGGCUGAGGCAGAACCUAGAAGAGCUUCAGGGAGAGCAUCCGAAUCACUCCUCUCAUGGAAUCACUGCUGGUUGGAGCACUGAGGUCAGCCAGCUCUCCCAGAGGCCUGACUCCCACACCAGGGAAGCAUGCCUAAGCUCUUCUUCACUGCCAGCCUUGAGGAGAGCAGAAGCCUCCGUUUUUAAAGACAGUAGAGCCCACUAAGGGCACUUCUUUGGAAAUGAAAUGUAGCACAAUCCUAGACUGCGAUACCAGGAGCCCUGACAUGCAUCUUGGGGCUGUACUCCAGGCCCUGCUGCCCAGGAGAUGUGGAGCUCCUCUUCCCCGGGACCCUAGGGCUCCUAAUACCUCAUGUUCCCCUUUGCCCUUGGCCCAGAAAGCAGCAGGGCUUUGGUAAGGCUGCUCUUCUGUGAUUCCCUGAUUGCUUCUAGCACUGUGCAAACUCUGCAAGAAAUUGCUGCCUUUGCCUGAGGUAGAUGAACUGCUUUUCUCACCAGGGUGGCAAGAGGUUUGGCCCUUUAUUCAGGGCAGAAGGUUGUUGGGUAGUAUUUCUUCAGUGGCUGCAGGGAGGUGGAAAAGAAGAGGCCUGCUUCCCUGCCUCCUUUUUCUUCCUCUCCUCAGAGGUGACUUCUCCAAUGUCCUGACAGGUAGAGAGAUUCUUUAAAAUGCUGCUUCCUCUGCUGGACUGUCUUUCACAGGAUGAUCAGGGAGGAGAUGGAAAUGCAGACUCAUCCCCUGCUUUCUCCCUCCAGUCUGCUUCUCACCCAGGUCAGAAGAGACUGGGACAAAACAAAAUAAUCAUGCUGGAAGAGCAGGGGAGCCACCAAUCAGGUGUGCCCUGAUGGUAGCUGGAUUGGCCUGGUACAGCUUGGAAAGGUUUAUUUUGAAAGAGUGCCUGAGCAUCUCAGAGCAAUGUCAGUGAUGCCAAAGAGAGCAACUUGGCCUCCUUGGGCACCAACUCUGUUGGUGGAGCUGCACAGAUGCAGCUCAGAUGUUGGCAUGCCCAAGCAUGGGACCUUGUUCUCUGACAAAGGGCUUAAUCUUUCCAUGUAGCAAAGCAACUCCCCCUCCCCCCAACCCCAAGCUUGGGCUUCUGCAGGCCCAGGAUGGCUGUGCCUGUGAAGGAAGCCACAUCAGCGAGAGGAACUUGCAUUUUCCAGGGUCCUAGAAUGGCUUGGGGCAGGUGCUUGUUGAAAAGCAUGAAUGUUAUUGCUUCAGAGAAAACUUUCAGGGCUCUGGCUGGAAACCUAGCCAGCAAGGACAGGGCCUUGGGCCCGGCCCCCCCCCGGAGUUUGCAUCAUACCAGGAAGGGUCCCUGAGGUUGGGUUCCAGACCACUUGGCUAACAGAAACAGGGCCUUGGAAUUCUAGAGACAACUGUACUUUUCCUCUAUUAGCCAAUGACCUGGACAGGGACAGCUGCUCUACACCAUUUUGCCAGAAGCUGUGAACCUUGUUUGAGACUCCUCACUUCUCUGGACCUCAGCUUCCUCAUCUGCAAAAUCAGAGCCUCAGCUAGUUGGAGCUAGCUGUGGAGGGUUGCAAGCCUGGUGCACCUGGUUUCAUCCAGCCCCUGGUGCCCAAGCUGGGCACAGUCCUGAUCCUGUCCAUGCCCAGAUGCUGCUUCUGACAAGAACUCUGGGAACCCUAACACACUCUGCUUUCACCUCUUUGUGGUUUGCGCUCCCUCCUUUACUCUUGUAUCAUGAUGAAAUAUAUUUAAGGGUUGUCUACAACGGAGUUUUCAAGGGGCUGGUGUGAUGUCACCACUUCAGUUGCAUCCUGAAUAAGUCAGUGUCCCCAUGAGCAGGUGAGGCUGGGUCACCCUCACUUCUGCUUCUAAAAGAUAUCAGUGGGGAGAGCUGAAGACCUCAGAGUUUUAAAGAAAUACUCUUGGAUGGGAGGAGAGAAGGAACUUAUUUCCCUUCUAUUUUGCUUUUUAAAACCACUCCUCCCUCCAAGAUGUCUUUUACCAGACAUCAUCUCAGAAAGCAGAGUGGCUAUUUCCUUAGGGAAAGGGCCAAGAGUUCUCUCAACUCCUUUAGCAUUUAAACUCACAGAAGGCAGGAACCCCUUUUUUAGAAUCUCCAAAUGCACCCUGCAAAGAGAGAGAGCUGUUAGGGACUGACAAGCACACUGUUUAGAUAAGAAGCAAUUUGCCUUUUAUAUCCGUGCUCUAUACAUUUUCUAUGUGCAGCAUCUUUCCAAACGUGUGGUUCCUGGGUGGCAGGUGGACAGCUGGGAGGGACUGCCGGCUGUUUUGUACGAUUUUCUUGCCAAUUCUCUCGAGGAAAAAAAUUCUUCACAUGGCUUCUGCAUGUACAGUAUUUGGGCAGCAAAAAAAAAAAAAAAUUAUUAAAGUCCAUUUGAAAUUGGCCUUGUGUUGCAUUUUUGGAAGCAAUUCUUAAUUCUAGGAGGAAGAAAACAGGGUUCCAGGUGACUAAAAAGAGAAGAGGAGUAAGACAUUGCUUGAGAGGCAGAAGAGUGCCUCAGUGCAUCUCAGAAAAAAGCAUGGAAGAUAUAACCUGGGCUCUGACCCCUGGCUGGGGGGGGGUCUCUGUUGGGCUAUGGAGUUAGACUGGUUCAGACAGCUUCCCAGCUGUCUUCUAGGGUCCCUACUUACUGACCUUCAAAACUUUCUGUUCCACAUACUCCACAAGGGAUGUCCAAAUAGAGGGUAAGAUAAAAUGGGGCAAAAGAUCUGCUCAGGCAUGUGGCUGGGUCAGUCUCGCCAACUUCAGCCAUACCUGGGACAAGCAGUUAGCCUCUAGUGCUGUGAACUACAUCUACAACUGACCCCUGCAGCACCCCUUGCCUUCUUCUCAGAGGGACAGAAAGGUGUGUUAAUAUUUGGUCACUUCUAGGCAGAUCCAUUGUUGUCUUAGGGGUGGGACUGGUGAGUACAGAAGAAGGAUGAAGGAAGUGUAUCACUGUCAUAGCUAGUGCUGGCCAGCAUCCUUCAUCCCCGAAGCCCUCCAGGGUGAUCUCAACUGUGUUGUCUCUGGCCUUUGGCCUUGCGGUGUCCAUGGGUAUCAUCUCUUGAGGGACAGCUCAGGAGACCAAUAUAUGAACUCUGGCAAUCCCUAGGAUUAUGGUUUUUACUUCUUACCUCUCAAAGGACAAAGGGGCAGACAAUGAAAACUGAGAUCCAAAGAAUGAAAUUCUAAAGGAUGUUCUUCAGCCAGAAGGAACAUAGUACAUGCCUUAGGGUUAUUGGAGGAUUAAGGUGAGGUAGUGUGUUUAACUCACUGUCCUAUGCUCAGAGAACAUAAGGAACAUGGUAAAUGUCAUAUGUCAGCAUUAAGGAAGAUGAUCAUGGAUGGAAAAGCUAAGAGGCAAGACGGAAGUGAGCAAAGAAAUAGAUUAAAAACAUUACUAGGGCCAGGCGCGGUAAUUAUACACACCUGUACUUCCAGCAGCUUGGGAGGCUGAGGCAGGAGGAUCAUGAGUUCAAAGCCAGCCUCAGCACUGGUGAGGCCCUAAGCAACUCAGUGAAACCCUGUCUCUAAAUAAAAUACAAAAUAGGGAUGGGGAUGUUGCUCUGUGUUUGAGUGCUCCUGAGUUCAAUCCCCAGUACCCAAAGAAAAAAAAUUACUAUGCAUUAACAUAGAUUAUAAAAUUAUAAUGUUGAAUCUGUAAAAUUAAAUAUAAUAGCACAUAAACUGGUUCUUUUUAAAACUUUGUUUUAGUUGUAAAUAGACACAAUACCUUUAUUAUUUAUAUUUUAUGUGGUGCUGAAG
rnacentral:lncRNA from 1 species